rnacentral:rRNA from 1 species
AGAACCUUACCACCCCUUGACAUCCUCGGAAAUGCCUGGAGACAGGCAGGUUCCUUGGGAACCGAGUGACAGGUGCUGCAUGGCUGUCGUCAGCUCGUGUCGUGAGAUGUUGGGUUAAGUCCCGUAACGCGCGCAACCCUUGUCCUUAUUUGCCAGCGGGUCAGGCCGGGAACUCUAGGGAGACUGCCGGUGACAAACCGGAGGAAGGGGGGGGAUGACGUCAAGUCAUCAUGGCCCUCACGGGGUGGGCUACAAACGUGCUACAAUGGGCGGCACAGAUGUGGCUUCGAACCAGCAAUGGCAAGCGAAUCCCAAAAAACCGCUCGUUUCCGAUAGGAGUCUGCAACUCGACUCCUUGAAGUCGGAAUCGCUAGUAAUCGCGAAUCAG